rnacentral:tRNA from 1 species
UUGCCUGUGGCUCUGUUGGCAGAGCAUUGUGCUAACAAUGCACAGGUCGUGGGUUCAAAUCCCAGGGAAA